rnacentral:rRNA from 1 species
UUAAGUUAUUAAGGGCGCACGGUGGAUGCCUUGGCACUAGAAGCCGAUGAAGGACGUUACUAACGACGAUAUGCUUUGGGGAGCUGUAAGUAAGCUUUGAUCCAGAGAUUUCCGAAUGGGGAAACCCAGCAUGAGUUAUGUCAUGUUAUCGAUAUGUGAAUACAUAGCAUAUCAGAAGGCACACCCGGAGAACUGAAACAUCUUAGUACCCGGAGGAAGAAAAGAAAAUUCGAUUCCCUUAGUAGCGGCGAGCGAAACGGGAAGAGCCCAAACCAACAAGCUUGCUUGUUGGGGUUGUAGGACACUCUAUACGGAGUUACAAAGGACGACAUUAGACGAAUCAUCUGGAAAGAUGAAUCAAAGAAGGUAAUAAUCCUGUAGUCGAAAAUGUUGUCUCUCUUGAGUGGAUCCUGAGUACGACGGAACACGUGAAAUUCCGUCGGAAUCUGGGAGGACCAUCUCCUAAGGCUAAAUACUCUCUAGUGACCGAUAGUGAACCAGUACCGUGAGGGAAAGGUGAAAAGCACCCCGGAAGGGGAGUGAAAUAGAACCUGAAACCGUGUGCUUACAAGUAGUCAGAGCCCGUUAAUGGGUGAUGGCGUGCCUUUUGUAGAAUGAACCGGCGAGUUACGAUUUGAUGCAAGGUUAAGCAGUAAAUGUGGAGCCGUAGCGAAAGCGAGUCUGAAUAGGGCGUUUAGUAUUUGGUCGUAGACCCGAAACCAGGUGAUCUACCCUUGGUCAGGUUGAAGUUCAGGUAACACUGAAUGGAGGACCGAACCGACUUACGUUGAAAAGUGAGCGGAUGAACUGAGGGUAGCGGAGAAAUUCCAAUCGAACCUGGAGAUAGCUGGUUCUCUCCGAAAUAGCUUUAGGGCUAGCCUCAAGUGAUGAUUAUUGGAGGUAGAGCACUGUUUGGACGAGGGGCCCCUCUCGGGUUACCGAAUUCAGACAAACUCCGAAUGCCAAUUAAUUUAACUUGGGAGUCAGAACAUGGGUGAUAAGGUCCGUGUUCGAAAGGGAAACAGCCCAGACCACCAGCUAAGGUCCCAAAAUAUAUGUUAAGUGGAAAAGGAUGUGGCGUUGCCCAGACAACUAGGAUGUUGGCUUAGAAGCAGCCAUCAUUUAAAGAGUGCGUAAUAGCUCACUAGUCGAGUGACACUGCGCCGAAAAUGUACCGGGGCUAAACAUAUUACCGAAGCUGUGGAUUGUCCUUUGGACAAUGGUAGGAGAGCGUUCUAAGGGCGUUGAAGCAUGAUCGUAAGGACAUGUGGAGCGCUUAGAAGUGAGAAUGCCGGUGUGAGUAGCGAAAGACGGGUGAGAAUCCCGUCCACCGAUUGACUAAGGUUUCCAGAGGAAGGCUCGUCCGCUCUGGGUUAGUCGGGUCCUAAGCUGAGGCCGACAGGCGUAGGCGAUGGAUAACAGGUUGAUAUUCCUGUACCACCUAUAAUCGUUUUAAUCGAUGGGGGGACGCAGUAGGAUAGGCGAAGCGUGCGAUUGGAUUGCACGUCUAAGCAGUAAGGCUGAGUAUUAGGCAAAUCCGGUACUCGUUAAGGCUGAGCUGUGAUGGGGAGAAGACAUUGAGUCUUCGAGUCGUUGAUUUCACACUGCCGAGAAAAGCCUCUAGAUAGAAAAUAGGUGCCCGUACCGCAAACCGACACAGGUAGUCAAGAUGAGAAUUCUAAGGUGAGCGAGCGAACUCUCGUUAAGGAACUCGGCAAAAUGACCCCGUAACUUCGGGAGAAGGGGUGCUCUUUAGGGUUAACGCCCAGAAGAGCCGCAGUGAAUAGGCCCAAGCGACUGUUUAUCAAAAACACAGGUCUCUGCUAAACCGUAAGGUGAUGUAUAGGGGCUGACGCCUGCCCGGUGCUGGAAGGUUAAGAGGAGUGGUUAGCUUCUGCGAAGCUACGAAUCGAAGCCCCAGUAAACGGCGGCCGUAACUAUAACGGUCCUAAGGUAGCGAAAUUCCUUGUCGGGUAAGUUCCGACCCGCACGAAAGGCGUAACGAUUUGGGCACUGUCUCAACGAGAGACUCGGUGAAAUCAUAGUACCUGUGAAGAUGCAGGUUACCCGCGACAGGACGGAAAGACCCCGUGGAGCUUUACUGUAGCCUGAUAUUGAAAUUCGGCACAGCUUGUACAGGAUAGGUAGGAGCCUUUGAAACGUGAGCGCUAGCUUACGUGGAGGCGCUGGUGGGAUACUACCCUAGCUGUGUUGGCUUUCUAACCCGCACCACUUAUCGUGGUGGGAGACAGUGUCAGGCGGGCAGUUUGACUGGGGCGGUCGCCUCCUAAAAGGUAACGGAGGCGCUCAAAGGUUCCCUCAGAAUGGUUGGAAAUCAUUCAUAGAGUGUAAAGGCAUAAGGGAGCUUGACUGCGAGACCUACAAGUCGAGCAGGGUCGAAAGACGGACUUAGUGAUCCGGUGGUUCCGCAUGGAAGGGCCAUCGCUCAACGGAUAAAAGCUACCCCGGGGAUAACAGGCUUAUCUCCCCCAAGAGUUCACAUCGACGGGGAGGUUUGGCACCUCGAUGUCGGCUCAUCGCAUCCUGGGGCUGUAGUCGGUCCCAAGGGUUGGGCUGUUCGCCCAUUAAAGCGGUACGCGAGCUGGGUUCAGAACGUCGUGAGACAGUUCGGUCCCUAUCCGUCGUGGGCGUAGGAAAUUUGAGAGGAGCUGUCCUUAGUACGAGAGGACCGGGAUGGACAUACCUCUGGUGUACCAGUUGUCGUGCCAACGGCAUAGCUGGGUAGCUAUGUGUGGACGGGAUAAGUGCUGAAAGCAUCUAAGCAUGAAGCCCCCCUCAAGAUGAGAUUUCCCAACUUCGGUUAUAAGAUCCCUCAAAGAUGAUGAGGUUAAUAGGUUCGAGGUGGAAGCAUGGUGACAUGUGGAGCUGACGAAUACUAAUCGAUCGAAGACUUAAUCAA